UUCAAUCCCACCCUUCCUUACCAGAUACUAAAGUCAUUUCUACCUUUCCUCUUGAGAUUUGCUGUUAGAUAUUAGAACUUCUCUUUGUCACAUACUUACAGGGAGAUUUUGAUUAUCCAUGGGAUUCCAUUCAUAACCUCAUAAACCACCCCCACGAAGAAAUUAUAUAUCUCGAAGAGGUUAUAUGGGCACAUUGUGAGAUGGUGGCCUCCCAUGAGCCAAGAAAAGAGGGCUUAAAAUGAAUCCUACCUGGCUGGCACCUUGAUCUUGGACUUCCUAGCAUCCAGAAAUGUGACAUGGUUUUCUGGUGCCUUGGCAACUGCUCACGAUGCAUGGGAAGACUAAACACUUUGUGUACAGCAUUCUGUCUCAUCCAGUGAAGACUUCCUCUGGAUUAUUGCAGCAGACACCUCUAACCUCCUUAAUCUGUACUGAAUCUUGCUCUGUCGCCAGGCUGGAGUGCAGUGGUGCGAUAUUGGCUCACUGCAACCUCCGCCUCUCGGGUUCAAGCGAUUAUCCUGCCUCAGCCUUUUGAGUAGCUGGGACUACAGGCACAUGGUACCAUGCCAGACUAAUUUUUGUAUUUUUAGUAGAGAUGGGAUUAUCACUAUGUUGGCCAAGAUGGUUUUGAUCUCUUGACUUCGUGAUCCGCCCUCCUCGGCCUCCCAAAGUGCUGGGAUUUCAGGCGUUAGCCACCGCACCCAGCCUGGACUUGUCUAUUUCAUUUGGAGAACUUCAAUUGAUCUAAAUCUACUUUGCAGCUUUUCAUUGUUAAUUUUGAAUUUAUUUAAACAAGUAAAAUAUUUAAGACAUUUGUGUGGAAAACCUGUAA
rnacentral:lncRNA from 10 species